rnacentral:misc_RNA from 1 species
CCCAUGUGUCCCAAUAGCAUUCUUGAAAUAGAUGUAGAUGACGUGGAUAAAAAAUAUCCUCUACUCCGUUUGUCCUCUUGGGCGAUAUAUACCUACAUCAUCAACAUUGUUUAGGUCACUUCUCAUCCGCCGUUCCAAACUGAGUCUUGUGUACAAUUUGUUGUAAAUCAUGGCCGGAGCAACAGCAAUGCAAGCCUCCGUCCUGGCAAAUCCCGUUCUUCGCAUUUCUAAUCGAGCCAGAGUGAGCCACUUUCUUCCAAACCCACAACUGCGAAGAAGCACCUACAGGAUCAAUACUUCCGUGAAAUGCAUGGCAGAGGGAGAUGAAAAGUUGCAGGAAAAUCAAAAGAAGCGGCAAACACAACCGGAAUCUGUAGCCACCCCCCCUGCCCCGACUCCUGCUCUAAAGGU